GAGGGAUGGCUGAGUGGUCGAAAGCGGCGGUCUUGAAAACCGUUGAGGGUAACACCUCCGUGGGUUCGAAUCCUA
rnacentral:tRNA from 1 species